AUACGUAGGGGGCAAGCGUUAAUCGGAAUUACUGGGCGUAAAGCGUGCGCAGGCGGUUUUGUAAGGCAGAUGUGAAAUCCCCGGGCUCAACCUGGGAACUGCCUUUGUGACUGCAAGUCUUGAGGCCGGCAGAGGGGGGUGGAAUUCCACGUGUAGCAGUGGAAUGCGUAGAUAUGUGGAGGAACACCGAUGGCGAAGGCAAUUCCCUGGGCUUGUACUGACGCUCAUGCACGAAAGCGUGGGGAGCAAACAGGAUUAGAUACCCUGGUAGUCCACGCCAUAAACGAUGUCAAAUGGUUGUUGGGUCUUCAUUGACUCAGUAACGCAGCUAACGCGUGAAGUUGACCGCCUGGGGAGUACGGCCGCAAGGUUGAAACUCAAAUGAAUUGACGGGG
rnacentral:rRNA from 1 species